rnacentral:lncRNA from 1 species
GUAAUAAAAUGUGAGCAGGAUAUUGCCUUGCUGCAGAGGGAUUUGGAUAGAUUGGGGGACUGGACACUAAAAUGGCAGAUUAAAUUUAACGUAGAGAAAUGCAAAGUUAUGCACUUCGGGGUUAAGAAUGCACAAGCAACUUACACACUAAAUGGUAGUAACUUAGGGAUAACCACACACGAGAAGGAUUUGGGAAUUGUUAUAGAUAACAAAUUAGGCAGCAAUAUGCAAUGUCAAUCUGCAGUUGCUAAGGCCAGUAAGGUUUUGUCAUGUAUAAAUAGGGGCAUAAAU